GACGAACGCUGGCGGCGUGCUUAACACAUGCAAGUCGAACGAAGUGGCGCACGGGUGAGUAACGCGUAAUCAACCUGCCCUUCAGAGGGGGACAACAGUUGGAAACGACUGCUACUACCGCAUACCGAUGGAGGAGAUUGCGUCUGAUUAGCUAGUUGGCGGGGUAACGGCCCACCAAGGGGAUGAUCAGUAGCCGGUAUGGGAUGUGGAACGGCCAAAGUGGGACUGAGACACGGCCCAGACUCCUACGGGAGGCAGCAGUGGGGAAUCUGCCGCAAUGGAGGAAAGUCUGACGGAGCAACGCCGCGGGAGUGAUGACGGCCUUCGGGUUGUAAAGCUCUGUUAAUCGGGACGCGGUACCGGAAGAGAAAGCCACGGCUAACUACGUGCCAGCAGCCGCGGUAAUAC
rnacentral:rRNA from 1 species